UUGACUGGAUGCAUUGUGUAGAGUUGAAUGGAUCGAGCAGAGGCCAGAGCCAUACGUACAACACAUGUAUUGCUCUGGUCUAGGCCACAUGCAAUUCAACAGCUCUACAUUGUUACUAGAAACCAUUUGGUGCUCAUCGUUGCAGUGAAAAUGUAUCGUCGUAACCUGACACAAACACAUAGAGAAACAGGCGCAGGCGCGGGCACACGCACACGCGUUCAGGCGAUUCAGCACCGACUGAAAAAGGACAGCGACGGAAUCUGAAUUUUGAAAUUCAGCACCGCAAGACUACGGGAGUUUGGGAUCAGCUGUCUUGAAAAAAACAAUCUCACAGCUUUCUGGGACAAACUUCAAGAGCCAGAAGAAAAAAAACUUCCAAGGAUUUUCCAUAGCUACUGUACCAAGGCUGUCCUUCAAUUAUUAAGAUGGCUACCCCCAAUGCACUUGUUCUCCCAGCCUUGAUUGCAUUUUAAGUGGCCACCCCCAACAUAAGAGAUCCAUAAGAUGAGGCCCAUGCAGAGACUAAAGGCUGAGUCGGCAUCAACUCCUCUCCCUGAGUCCCAGCAGAAGACGAAGCCGAGCCUUUCAACGCAACUGCAGAGAAUGCCUGUCACAUCUGGGCUAAAUUCUCUUAGGAGGGAGGAGCGAUGCGGCGCUAUUACCAUGUCCCAGGUAAUGUGGAGAGUGUCUGCGCCUCCAUGUCCCAGAAGUAGGGCGAUGCCUAUUUCUGUCUGAGUUUGUGGUGGUUUUAAACUAUUUAGUGGUUUGAAAGGAUGCAAAACCCAGAAAGAUAACAGAAAAAAACUCUUAAGUGUAGUCUAUGAGUCUACAGGACAAAGCAGUUGAAUCCACUGACCAGUAGUGUAUAACGUGGGGCUGUCAAGAGUUCAUCUGUCAACCUCUGACCUUAGAGAGCCUUUUAAUGUCUCUAUUUGGUUUGGUCAAGGUGUGAUUUGGGGUGGGCAUUGUAUGUUUUGUUAUCUAUGAUUUUGUAUUUCUAUGUUUUGGCCGGGUAUGGUUCUCAAUCAGGGACAGCUGUCUAUCGUUGUCUCUGAUUGGGAACCAUACUUAGGUAGCCCUUUUUCUCUCCUUUCUUUGUGGGAAGUUGGCUUUGUUUAGGGCACAGAGCCUUUAGCUUCACGGUUUGUUUGUAGUGUUUAUUGUUUUUGUCGGCGUCAUCUUAAAUAAAGAAUAUGUACCCUCA